UACGGAGGGAGCUAGCGUUGUUCGGAAUUAUUGGCGUAAAGCGCGCGUAGGCGGUUUCUCAAGUCAGAGGUGAAAGCCCGGGGGCUCAACCCCGGAACUGCCUUUGAACUAAGGAGACUAGAAUCUUGGAGAGGUCAGUGGAAUUCCGAGUGUAGAGGUGAAAUUCGUAGAUAUUCGGAAGAACACCAGUGGCGAAGGCGACUGACUGGACAAGUAUUGACGCUGAGGUGCGAAAGCGUGGGGAGCAAACAGG
rnacentral:rRNA from 1 species